GCCCGGGUGGCGAAACUGGUAGACGCAUGGGACUUAAAAUCCCAAGGGAGGCAACUCCCGUGCAGGUUCGAAUCCUGCCCUGGGCA
rnacentral:tRNA from 1 species